GGGGAAUAUUGCACAAUGGAGGAAACUCUGAUGCAGCGACGCCGCGUGAGUGAUGAAGGCUUUCGAGUCGUAAAACUCUGUCCUUGGGGACGAUAAUGACGGUACCCAAGGAGGAAGCCCCGGCUAACUACGUGCCAGCAGCCGCGGUAAUACGUAGGGGGCGAGCGUUGUCCGGAUUUAUUGGGCGUAAAGGGUUCGCAGGCGGCCAAAUAAGUCAGAUGUGAAAGCCCACGGCUUAACCGUGGUAAGCAUUUGAAACUGUAUGGCUUGAGUUAAGGAGAGGAAAGUGGAAUUCCUAGUGUAGCGGUGAAAUGCGUAGAUAUUAGGAAGAAUACCAGUGGCGAAGGCGACUUUCUGGACUUAUACUGACGCUGAGGAACGAAAGCGUGGGGAGCAAAC
rnacentral:rRNA from 1 species